CUGAGCUAAUGGCUCCUGUAGUCAGGUGUGUUUAGCAGUCUGCGACGCAGCAGAGCAGCAAACUGUAGCAGCAUGCAGUGUUUCUCUCACAGAAAUAGACUGCGGUCAACCGCAUCUCUGAUGUC